GCCUGGGCCUCUCCCCGUGCACUCACAGCAGUUGGCUGCCGCCCUCGGCGAGUGAUUGUUCCAGCCGCCGCCGCUGCAGCUGCUCGCGGAGAAACCAAAAAGGGCCUCGCGCUCGGCAGAGAAUCCGUUCCUCUGUUGCAGCAAGUAGCCCACAGCUCUGACCACAAAGGAUGCAGAAAGUAUGACAUAGAGAGCAAAGGUAUGCACCACAGGCCACAUAACAUCUGCCACUCAGGCCACAUUCCUUAUCCUGGCCUCUGGACACUGGGGCAUAAUGGCUUGUUUUUCUAUUGCUCUGUCUCCCUGUCCUCUCCUUACAAGUAAAGUUACUUUGUGUCAAAGCCCAAGGGGAAAAGGAUUGGGGAAGUGAAGAGGAAACAAG
rnacentral:lncRNA from 1 species